UCCCCAGUUAAUCCAUCUUGAGUCAAUUUGGUUCUUUGCCCAGAGAGAAGGACCUUGAAGGGCAGAGGAAAUUCUUCUUCAACAGCUGACAUAGUCAGUAGGAUACUUUAACUCACUAGACACCACUGCAAUGGAGAUCCUUGGGACAUCUGACAUACACCUGGCAGAAGAUUUAAAAAAAAAAAAAAAAAACUUUUUCUCUUAAAUGACUUAGAGCAAUUUGAUAGAAUACUACCACUGGAACAAAUUGAAACUUGCAUCUUUUUCUCUACCUGAACCCUCCAGAAUUCAGAAAUUCUCAGAGAGGAAUAUACAUUAGAUGCCCACAUCCUGACUAGCAAGAGCACGGACACGCUUCAGGAGGAUAAAAUCAGCAGAAGGUAGCAAAGACUGUGGUCAAACACCUGCAGUGCC